rnacentral:rRNA from 1 species
CAUUAAAGAGUUCUAUAACUCCCAAACCCAUGUGAACAUACCUAACGUUGCCUCGGCAGGUCGCACCUACCUUGUAGCACCCUACCCUGUAGGGCCUACCCGGGAGGUGCGGGUAAGCCUGCCGGCGGCCCACCAAACUCUGUUUGAUAUUGAAUUCUGAACCUAUAACUAAAUAAGUUAAAACUUUCAACAACGGAUCUCUUGGUUCUGGCAUCGAUGAAGAACGCAGCGAAAUGCGAUAAGUAAUGUGAAUUGCAGAAUUCAGUGAAUCAUCGAAUCUUUGAACGCAUAUUGCGCCCAUUAGUAUUCUAGUGGGCAGGACCGUUCGAGCGUCAUUUCAACCCUUAAGCCUUCGUUGCUUAGUGUUGGGAGCCUACGGCAACGUAGCUCCUCAAAGUUAGUGGCGGAGUUGGUUCACACUCUAGACGUAGUAAUUUUUUAUCUCGCCUAUUAGUUGGACUAAUCCCCUGCCGUAAAACCCCCAAUCUAUAUCAAGGUUGACCUCGAAUCGGUUCAGACAAACUCGCUAAAUUGAAGCAUCUUAGUCAGCGAAGGAAAAGAAACCAACAGGGAUUGCCCUAGUAACGGCGAGUGA